rnacentral:rRNA from 1 species
UACGGAAGGCAGCAGUGGGGAAUAUUGCACAAUGGGCGCAAGCCUGAUGCAGCCAUGCCGCGUGUAUGAAAAAGGCCUUCGGGUUGUAAAGUACUUUCAGUCGUGAGGAAGGUGUUAAGGUUAAUAACCUUAGCAAUUGACGUUAGCGACAGAAGAAGCACCGGCUAACUCCGUGCCAGCAGCCGCGGUAAUACGGAGGGUGCGAGCGUUAAUCGGAAUUACUGGGCGUAAAGGGCACGCAGGCGGUUAAUUAAGUUGGAUGUGAAAUCCCCGGGCUUAACCUGGGAAUGGCAUUCAAGACUGGUUAGCUAGAGUCUUGUAGAGGGGGUAGAAUUCCAUGUGUAGCGGUGAAAUGCGUAGAGAUGUGGAGGAAUACCGGUGGCGAAGGCGGCCCCUGGACAAAGGCUGACGCUCAUGUGCGAAAGCGUGGGGAGCAAA